rnacentral:rRNA from 1 species
AUUGAACGCUGGCGGCAGGCCUAACACAUGCAAGUCGAGCGAGCGGCGGACGGGUGAGUCAUGUCUGGGAACCUGCCUGAUGGAGGGGGAUAACUCCUGGAAACGGUAGCUAAUACUGCAUCCCAUCAGAUGUGCCCAGAUGUGGUUAGCUAGUAGGUGGGGUAACGGCGCACCUAGGCGACGAUCCCUAGCUGGUCUGAGAGGAUGACCAGCCACACUGGAACUGAGACACGGUCCAGACUCCUACGGGAGGCAGCAGUGGGGAAUAUUGCACAAUGGGCGCAAGCCUGAUGCAGCCAUGCCGCGUGUGUGAAGAAGGCCUUCGGGUUGUAAAGCACUUUCAGCGGGGAGGCGUUACCCGCAGAAGAAGCACCGGCUAACUCCGUGCCAGCAGCCGCGGUAAUUC